AUUGAACGCUGGCGGCAUGCCUUACACAUGCAAGUCGAACGGCAGCACGGGGCAACCUGGUGGCGAGUGGCGAACGGGUGAGUAAUGCAUCGGAACGUACCUUUCAGUGGGGGAUAACGUAGCGAAAGUUACGCUAAUACCGUAUAUUCUGUGAGCAGGAAAGCAGGGGAUCGCAAGACCUUGCGCUGAUUGAGCGGCCGAUGUCAGAUUAGCUAGUUGGUGAGGUAAAGUCUCACCAAGGCUACGAUCCGUAGCGGAUCUGAGAGGAUGAUCCGCCACACGGGAACUGGGACACGGUCCAGACUCCUACGUGAGGCAGCAGUGAGGAAUUUUGAACAAUGGGGGCAACCCUUAUCCAGCCAUGCCGCGUGAGUGAAGAAGGCCUUCGGGUUGUAAAGCUCUUUCGGCCGGGAAGAAAUCGCACGGGCUAAUACCCUGUGUGGAUGACGGUACCGGAAUAAGAAGCACCGGCUAACUACGUGCCAGCAGCCGCCGAAA
rnacentral:rRNA from 1 species